rnacentral:rRNA from 1 species
AAUCAACGCUGGCGGCGCGCUUAACACAUGCAAGUCGAGCGAGAAAGGGGAGCAAUCCCUGAGUACAGCGGCGUACGGGUGAGUAACACGUGGGUGAUCUACCUUCUAGUGUGGAAUAACCCUGGGAAACCGGGGCUAAUACCGCAUAAGCCUGUGAAGGGAAAGCAGCAAUGCGCUGGAAGAGGAGCCCGCGGCCGAUUAGCUAGUUGGUGAGGUAACGGCCCACCAAGGCGAUGAUCGGUAGCCGGCCUGAGAGGGCACACGGCCACACUGGCACUGAAACACGGGCCAGACUCCUACGGGAGGCAGCAGUGGGGAAUCUUGCACAAUGGAGGCAACUCUGAUGCAGCGACGCCGCGUGAGCGAUGAAGCCCUUC